rnacentral:rRNA from 1 species
UACGUAGGUGGCAAGCGUUGUCCGGAUUUACUGGGCGUAAAGGGCGUGCAGGCGGUUUUUAAGUCUAGGGUGAAAGCUCCCGGCUCAACUGGGAGAGGUCCUUGGAUACUGGAGAACUUGAGGGAUGCAGAGGAAAGUGGAAUUCCCGGUGUAGUGGUGAUAUGCGUAGAUAUCGGGAGGAACACCAGUGGCGAAGGCGGCUUUCUGGGCAUUUCCUGACGCUGAGACGCGAAAGCGUGGGGAGCGAACCGG